AUGUGGCAACUGUCCCAGGACGUAGUGCUCACUAGAAAAGUUAUGAGAACGAGGAAAUGGACUGGGAAUCCCACAUGUUCUUUCUGUGAUGAGUUGGAAACCUCCCAACAUCUAUUUUUUACUUGCCCUGUUGCUAAAGUGAUCUGGAGAUGCGUUGGGAUAGUUCUGGGUACUGAGAUGUGCCCAAAUAGCUACUGGCAAUAUUUUGCUUGGUGCCACACUUUUCUCCCUGAUGGACAAAAGUACUAUACGGUGGGCUUGGCUGCUGCUUGCUGGGCCAUUUGGCUAGCUCGAAACCGAGCUACGUUCGAAAAGAAGCUUAUCAAAAUGCCUUUUGAGAUUGUUUUCUCCAUGUGUUCUUUCCUACUGUACUGGACAGGGCUGCAGGAGGAGGAGGGCGCCAAGGAGCUGCGAAGCGGUGCUGAGAUGAUCAGGUCGAGCACGAUGCGUAUGAUGGAGAUGUGCAACGCGGCGAGGGUGCCGAUCGGAGGAGAUUGA
rnacentral:rRNA from 1 species